AUCCCAGAUAAACAUGUCUCUGUUUCAUUGAUUCAUGGGAGGUGAACAUUAACAUUGGGAGUUCGCUAAUAACACCUUUUUGUCAAGGAGGUGUUUUAAUAGUACCUCACCAAACGCAU